rnacentral:rRNA from 1 species
AGUGGCGGACGGGUGAGUAACACGUAGGCAACCUGCCCAGAAGCGGGGGACAACAUUUGGAAACAAGUGCUAAUACCGCAUGAAUCCGAAAACCGCAUGGUUUUCGGCUAAAAGACGGCUUCGGCUGUCACUUCUGGAUGGGCCUGCGGCGCAUUAGUUAGUUGGUGGGGUAACGGCCUACCAAGACGAUGAUGCGUAGCCGAGUUGAGAGACUGAUCGGCCACAAUGGAACUGAGACACGGUCCAUACUCC